rnacentral:lncRNA from 1 species
CACACAUACAAACCAUUACAAUAGAUCAAAGUUAAUGAUGCAAUACUGUAAACAAACUUCCUUUAAGUAUAAAAGAGACUCGUUAUAUUAUUAUCUUCUAGCACAUCACAAAACGAUUAGUCGAGAUAGUAGGCUUAUUAUUAAUUACUCAUACCUCAUAUUUCGUUUACAGGAAUCUCCCAUGUGGCAUUCAUAUAAAAUCAAUGCGAAUAACAAAUUUAUAAUGGAGUCGAAAAGCAUUUUAACCAAAUCUUAACCCCAAAAAGUGACUAAUCUUGACAGACAAACAGCAGGUUAAAUAAAGGCAACAGUAGUAUACCGCUGUUCAAACCUCAUAAAUCCAUGGACAAAAAACAAAAUCGGGGUAACAAACCAAAACUGAGGGAAACGCAUUAAAUAUUAGAGGAGAACAACGACACAACAUUAAAAUGUAACACACACAGCAACGGACUAAGCAUUAGACAAGGACUAAGCAUUAGACAAAAUCCGAUGAAAGAUACCAUUGUGACAUUCGAAACAAAACUCGAAAAUAAAAUAGAUAACGCCAUGGCAAAACUGAAAACAAAUUACGAAAACCAGUGUAACAAGUCUAUACAACAUUGCAUAGAAAACCAAAGACCGAAAUCCGCAGGUUAUCUCAAGAGCUCCGGAAGGGAAAGCAUGUGCCAACAGUUGUGUUGCUUGUGUUAAGUCCAACUCAUGUGUUUAUUUUCAUACAAUGAUGUAAUAAUCGGGGAAAAUGUACGGCAGAAUGGCUACGACUAUCGGAACGUAUUCGUGGUCGUCCUUAGAAUAUCGUAUCAACUUGGAUAUUGAAUACGCGUAUAAAGUGGCUUCUGGUAUGCGACAUAUAGCAACGGAAAGUAGUCGAUUAGAAAGCUGAAAUCAUUUUAAUUAUUGUAAAGUUGUUCUCUCAAUCGACCUUCAUUGUCAUUUUUUAAAGUCAAGAAAUGAGGUAGACUUAAUCGUAUAUGUGGUAUCCUUUGAUGGGCUAGAUGAGUUCAACGUAGACUCUACAUUUUAAAUUAAGUAACGAGAUGGACUGAAGUGGAACAUGAAGUUGAAGGAUAAUGUAAGCUCCAUUUCAUUCUACUUAUGAAACAUUUUAAAAAAAGAAACAACAACCGGUUUCAACAGAAUCGUA